AAAGUCGUAACAAGGUUUCCGUAGGUGAACCUGCGGAAGGAUCAUUACAGAAUGUAACCUCUUUGGUACACUCUCUAUAUCCCAUUGUCUACUCUCCCUGUUGCUUCCAUGGUGCCGGCCAGUUUGGCUCUGGACUCGUGGCCAAUACCCACCUGUUUGGAAGUGCCCAUGGUUAUUUUUCUUCUCGGUGACCUUGGUUACUGGGUUGGAAAAUGAUUAAAAACCUCAUGUGAUACAUCUGUCUGAAUAUAUAUUGAAAUGAAAAUAAAACUUUCAACAACGGAUCUCUAGGCUCUU
rnacentral:misc_RNA from 1 species